AUAGGGCGUAAAGCGAGGGCAGGGCGGUCUUUUAAGUCUAAUGUGAAAACCUCUCGGCUCUAGUGAAGAAGUGCAUUGGAACCUGGGAGAUUUGAGUGCAGACGAGGAGCAGGUGGAACUCCAUAUGUAGCGGUGAAAUUCGUAUAUAUAUGGAAGACCACCAGUGUCGAAGGCGUCUGUCUGGUCUGUUUCUGAAGCUGAGGCUUCAAUGCAUGGGUAGACAACAGGAUUAGAUACCGGGGUACUUCCAUGCUGUAAACGCAUGAUUACUAAGUGUCAGAGGGUUUCCUCUCUUCAGUGCUGCAGCUAUCGCAUUAAGUAAUCCGCCUGGGGAGUACGUCCGCAAGGUUGAAACUCAUAAGAAUUGACGGGGGCCCGCACAAGCGGUGGAGCCUGUGGUUUAAUUCGAAGCUACCCGAAGAACCUUACCAGGUCUUGACAUCUUCUGCCAACCUAAGAGAUUAGGCGUUCCCUUCGUGGACAGAAUAACAGGUGGUCCAUGGUUGUUGUCACCUUGUGUCCAGAGAUGUUGGGUUAAGUCCCGCUCCGAGCGCAACCCUUAUUACUAGUUCCCAGCAUUCAGUUGGGCACUCUAGUGAGACUGCCGGUGACAAGCCGGAGGAAGGUGGGGACGACAGCAAAUCAUCAUGCCCCUUAUGACCUGGGCUACACACGUAUCACAAUGGAUGGUACACGGAGUCGCGACACCUAGAGGUUUAGCUAAUCUCUCAACCCCAUUCUCAGUUAGGACCGUAGUCUGCAACUAACCCACACGAAGUUGUAAUUUCUAGUAAUCGCGGAUCAUCAUGCAGCGGUGUAUACGUUCCCGGGCCUUGUUCACACCGCCCGUCUCACCAUGAUAGUUCGUAACCCCCAAAAAGGGUGGGGUCACUUCCAAGGAUCUAGCCGUCUAAGGUGCUCAG
rnacentral:rRNA from 1 species